rfam:Microgenomates bacterium 39_7 MPI_scaffold_3312, whole genome shotgun sequence.
GUAUGAUCGAGGUAACAAAAUCAAACAACAAUUAGGAAGUCUGCAGAGGUCAUAGUAUUUUACCUAUUUAUAGGUAAAAGAAGGGC